CUAUCGUUCCUCAUCUAUCUUCAUUUCUACUCUCUUCAAUUCUAUAGCACACAAUACUCCCCUCCCCCUAAUAAUUCGGCCACCCUUUCUCCGCCGACUACAUCGUGACCUUCUCCUCGCUUAAAGCCGCCGACGACCACAAUGGAAGAUCCGGUUUCAGUUGCCGGCAGAUCGAUGGUUCGCUCAAAGGUGUACUACGGUUUCCUAUGCCCCUCUAUUUUCUUUCCAUCGCCGAUUUUUUGGAUUUUUUUCGUGCAUAGUACAGUCUAGCCUUUCUCCGUCUACGACUGUAAGGUGAAGCAAAAUGCGGAAUCAAUGGAAGAGAAGAAGAAG
rnacentral:lncRNA from 1 species